GCCUUCGUGGUGUAGUGGGCAGCACACUCGGAGUGUAACUGAGAGGUCCGUGGUUCGAUUCCCGGCGAACACG
rnacentral:tRNA from 1 species